ACGCUAGCGAUAGGCUUAACACAUGCAAGUCGAGGGGCAGCAUGGUCUUAGCUUGCUAAGACUGAUGGCGACCGGCGCACGGGUGCGUAACGCGUAUGCAACUUGCCUCACAGAGGGGGAUAACCCGUCGAAAGACGGACUAAUACCGCGUACACUCCAGCUUGGGCAUCCAAGCUAGAGGAAAUGAAAUUCGCUGUGAGAUAGGCAUGCGUCCCAUUGGCUAGUUGGUGAGGUAACGGCUCACCAAGGCGACGAUGGGUAGGGGAACUGAGAGGUUGAACCCCCACACUGGUACUGAGACACGGACCAGACUCCUACGGGAGGCAGCAGUGAGGAAUAUUGGUCAAUGGGCGAGAGCCUGAACCAGCCAAGUCGCGUGAAGGAUGACUGUCUUAUGGAUUGUAAACUUCUUUUAUACGGGAAUAACAAGAGUCACGUGUGGCUCCCUGCAUGUACCGUAUGAAUAAGCAUCGGCUAACUCCGUGCCAGCAGCCGCGGUAAUACGGAGGAUGCGAGCGUUAUCCGGAUUUAUUGGGUUUAAAGGGUGCGUAGGCGGCCUGUUAAGUCAGCGGUGAAAUCUAGGAGCUUAACUCCUAAAUUGCCAUUGAUACUGGCGGGCUUGAGUGUAGAUGAGGUAGGCGGAAUGCGUGGUGUAGCGGUGGAAUGCAUAGAUAUCACGCAGAACUCCGAUUGCGAAGGCAGCUUACUAAGGUACAACUGACGCUGAAGCACGAAAGCGUGGGUAUCAAACAGGAUUAGAUACCCUGGUAGUCCACGCAGUAAACGAUGAUAACUGGGCGUAUGCGAUAUACAGUAUGCUCCUAAGCGAAAGCGUUAAGUUAUCCACCUGGGGAGUACGCCGGCAACGGUGAAACUCAAAGGAAUUGACGGGGGCCCGCACAAGCGGAGG
rnacentral:rRNA from 1 species